CUGAGUUUACGCUCUACAACCCUUUGUGAACAUACCUAUAACUGUUGCUUCGGCGGGUAGGGUCUCCGUGACCCUCCCGGCCUCCCGCCCCCGGGCGGGUCGGCGCCCGCCGGAGGAUAACCAAACUCUGAUUUAACGACGUUUCUUCUGAGUGGUACAAGCAAAUAAUCAAAACUUUUAACAACGGAUCUCUUGGUUCUGGCAUCGAUGAAGAACGCAGCGAAAUGCGAUAAGUAAUGUGAAUUGCAGAAUUCAGUGAAUCAUCGAAUCUUUGAACGCACAUUGCGCCCGCCAGCAUUCUGGCGGGCAUGCCUGUUCGAGCGUCAUUUCAACCCUCAAGCUCUGCUUGGUGUUGGGGCCCUACAGCUGAUGUAGGCCCUCAAAGGUAGUGGCGGACCCUCCCGGAGCCUCCUUUGCGUAGUAACUUUACGUCUCGCACUGGGAUCCGGAGGGACUCUUGCCGUAAAACCCCCAAUUUUCCAAAGGUUGACCUCGGAUCAGGUAGGAAUACCCGCUGAACUUAAGCAUAUCAAUAAGCGGAGGAAAAGAAACCAACAGGGAUUGCCUCAGUAACGGCGAGUGAAGCGGCAACAGCUCAAAUUUGAAAUCUGGCCCUAGGCCCGAGUUGUAAUUUGCAGAGGAUGCUUUUGGUGCGGUGCCUUCCAAGUUCCCUAGAACGGGACGCCAGAGAGGGUGAGAGCCCCGUACAGUUGGACACCAAGCCUUUGUAAAGCUCCUUCGACGAGUCGAGUAGUUUGGGAAUGCUGCUCAAAAUGGGAGGUAUAUUUCUUCUAAAGCUAAAUACCGGCCAGAGACCGAUAGCGCACAAGUAGAGUGAUCGAAAGAUGAAAAGCACUUUGAAAAGAGGGUUAAACAGCACGUGAAAUUGUUAAAAGGGAAGCGCUUGUGACCAGACUUGCGUCCGGUGAAUCACCCAGCUCUCGCGGCUGGGGCACUUCGCCGGCUCAGGCCAGCAUCAGCUCGCUGUCGGGGACAAAAGCUUCAGGAACGUAGCUCUCUUCGGGGAGUGUUAUAGCCUGUUGCAUAAUACCCUUCGGCGGGCUGAGGUACGCG
rnacentral:misc_RNA from 1 species